rnacentral:rRNA from 1 species
GAGUUAGGAAAUGUAAGUGUGCUAAUACCACAUUUAUUUGACGAAGGCUCCAAAGGAAGCCACGGCUAACUCUGUGCCAGCAGCCGUGGUAAUACAGAGGUGGCAAGCGUUGUUCGGAAUUAUUGGGCGUAAAGAGCACGUAGGUGGGUUUGUAAGUCAGAUGUGAAAGCCUUCUGUUCAACGGAAGAAUUGCAUCUGAAACUGCGAAUCUUGAGUGUAGGAGGGGAGAGUGGAACUUCUGGU